UUUGCUGUCUUACAGGUUGACACAAAGGUGUUGUGGUAGUGUUUCAUGAUGAUCAUUACAAGCCAGACACGAUGGAGAGACAAGUCAAGCAUACAGAAUAAACUUAUUUGUGUUGUUUGGAUUGGAGGUACUUCUCUGCAGAGAAGAAAAAAUGUACAAAAUUGUUUAGCUUUUUUUUUUUUUUUUUAGUGCAGUGGAGCAUUGUAGAUUGAGAAAGGGAAAUUAGGACAGGAAAAUAGGACAUUUAAGUACCGUGGCUAGGGCAAUCCACAACUAGGUCAGAAAUUAGCUCCUCCAAAAGCACAAAGGCAUAGCACAUGUUCAAUUUAAUAAAGGUUACAAAGGAAAUAACAGUUUGUUCAUCUUUGCUCUUGGAGAGACAGAUAAUGAAUCUGUUCUUUGGCAAACUUUCUGACCAAAAUCCAAAUGGCAUAAAGCUCCCGCAUUAAGCCUGGGAAGUUAAACUGCUAUUAGAAAACUACCUAGAAGAGAGACUCAUUCAAGCAAAAGCAGUUACAGGCAAGUGCAAAACUGUUGCUCUGGAUGGAGUGUCCAGAUUUCCACUCUUGCAUUUUAAGCCUUGCUUUAUGAUUUCCACCAGAUCAUGCAGUGGUUGAAAAUAACAUCGGAGUGUAACAACAGCAUGUCUACUUGUUAAUUCAGUUGAUGCCCAUGUCUUUUGAUUGUCUCAUGAAUAGCACUUGCCAGACAAAAUAUAGGCUUGUUUUUUCCCUCUACUGUUUACAGAUAGGUGAGGGGGAAAAAAACCCCAAAAGAACAAAACAAAGAGCUAAAAUAGCCCCAGGACACAGACUUUAAAACGAAAGCAUAUUUCAGAGGUCAGCCUGCUAAAAAUAGUUAAAGAGACAAAUACUCAUUUUAUAGGUUCAGGAGCUAGGUGUUGGUAUUUCUGAAGUCCUUAACUGUAGGAAUCGCUUUUUGGCACAUUAUAAUCCAUUUUUAAUUAAGCUUAUAGAGGAUGAGGAUAAGGAGAGUUUGUUGCAUCUAAUGUAUUAAAGAAACAACUAGAGGCUGAAAAUACCAGUAUAAUGAUAUUUUGAAUAGUAGUAUACGUGAAAGGCUUGACCUAAAGCCCAGUUCUUCUGUUCAAGACCAGGAUUUGGAAAUGUUCUGAAAUUGGGCUGUUUCUAGGGAAGUCUGGAAGAGAAAAAGGCAGAAUUCUAGAUCCAGGAAGUGAAGCGAUCUAGUGCUUCCUGCAGACAAAUCCAAACUUACUUGUCCUGUUACGUAUAAGGCACUCACAUGUCUCUCUGGAGAGGUGGAUAACUGCUGGGAAAGUAGCCUCUGGAAGACUGUGUGUAUCAUACUCUGCUUUCGCAGGAAGUGGGUCAGAGCAAUAUGCUGGCACCUGACCCAUCACCACGUCUGUUCUUCAGGUCUGAAAUAAACCCAGCACACUUCAACAGCAAAUAUAAGUUAAGACAAUAACUUUGUGAUUAACAGGACAUGUUAAUGCUUGUGGACUAACAGUGGGGUGUAAGCAGCAGGAGAAUAAAUAGUUUUCAGAUUAAUUGCAGGUUUUUUUGGUUUUAUGUUAUGUCUGCUGGAAGUUCUCAUUACUAUUGCAUCCCAAAGAUUUCCUAUUUAUCACAUUCAGGUGGAAACCAUCACCCUUUGAUUUUGGUUUAAAGGGAAAAUGGAUACCAUCUGCCCAGUGCCCUCCCAGGUGAUUCCCUGGGAGACUUCCAAGAAAUCCUAAGAAGCAGAAAUCCGAAGUCUUUACAAGUAUAAAGAACCAUUCUGCAAGAAAGUAAGAGAAGCAAACAGUUAAGAAUGAAGAAAGGACACAAUGGGUUUUA